rnacentral:rRNA from 1 species
AACGAACGCUGGCGGCAGGCCUAACACAUGCAAGUCGAGCGCCCCGCAAGGGGAGCGGCGGACGGGUGAGUAACGCGUGGGAAUAUGCCCUUUGCUACGGAAUAGUCUCGGGAAACUGGGGGUAAUACCGUAUACGCCCUUUGGGGGAAAGAUUUAUCGGCGAAGGAUUAGCCCGCGUUGGAUUAGGUAGUUGGUGGGGUAAUGGCCUACCAAGCCGACGAUCCAUAGCUGGUUUGAGAGGAUGAUCAGCCACACUGGGACUGAGACACGGCCCAGACUCCUACGGGAGGCAGCAGUGGGGAAUCUUAGACAAUGGGGGCAACCCUGGUCGAGCCAUGCCGCGUGAGUGAUGAAGGCCUUAGGGUUGUAAAGCUCUUUCAGCUGGGAAGAUAAUGACGGUACCAGCAGAAGAAGCCCCGGCUAACUCCGUG